CGUAAUCAUUUGUCUUUUAAAUGAAGACCAGUAUGAAUGGCAUAACGAGGGCCAAGCUGUCUCCUUUUUCCAGUCAAUGAAAUUGAUCCCCCUGUGCAGAAGCAGGGACACAAACAUAAGACGAGAAGACCCUAUGGAGCUUAAGACACAAGACAGUUCAUGUAAAAAAACCAUAUUAAUGGAAAGAACCAAAUGACCCCUGUCCUUUUGUCUUUGGUUGGGGCGACCAUGGAGUAACAAAAAACCCCCAUGUGGAACAGGGCCCAGGCCCUUAAAGCUAGAGCCACAGCUCUAACAAACAGAACAUCUGACCUUCAAGAUCCGGCAAGACCGAUCAACGGACCGAGUUACCCUAGGGAUAACAGCGCAAUCCCCUUUUAGAGCCCAUAUCGACAAGGGGGUUUACGACCUCGAUGUUGGAUCAGGACACCCUAAUGGUGCAGCCGCUAUUAAGGGUUCGUUUGUUCAACGAUU
rnacentral:rRNA from 1 species